rnacentral:sRNA from 1 species
AUUUAUUUAUUUAUUUAUUCUUAUUUUUAGAAGAACAUUAUUUUUGGGUUACUGCAUUUUUUAGCCGCUUUUAUGUUUUAAAAGAUAUAAAAAUAAAAGUGAAUAAUAAAAUGCUAUAAUAAAAUGAGAUAUUUAAAUAUUUUUCAUAAUUUUUUUAUAAGCUUAUAAUAAAAAAUUAGCUAGAUAUUUAAAUACAAA